GAAAAUAGUUUGUUUAACAACAGAGGUAACAAACGUCGUUUCCUUGUCGUCUUUCCACGAUUAUCUCUUUUCGUUGUUUCUCUUUUCUUUUUCGUUUGAAAUUUACCAGUGAGCAAGGUACGGGACCUUG
rnacentral:ribozyme from 15 species